UUUGUCCGACAUUUGAAGUUGCAUAAAGAACGGAAGUGAGAUAUAUCCCCCACGGUGGACUGCCACAGACACACUGAUCGGGGAGCGUGCCAUGUCAGUGGAGUGAGAGGGACUUAUGGAAGGUGCUGCAUUGAGUUCUUCAUAUUUGAAGGUCAGUGGCAGCCUGACAUGUACUCAGAGGGGAGAGAGGACCCAGUUGAAACAGAUGGGAAGUGCUGAUUCGUGUACAGAAGAAGAGAAAGUCAAUCAAUUUGAAAUGGGAGUCCAGAAAUGGACAUGGCAAGCCAGCGUAAUCAAAUCUAAAGCUUAUGGCAAAGAGAAAUGUUCCCGGAAUUUAAUUGAGAUCAAUGUGAUUAUUCUUGCUGGGAAUUAAAUCUCAUUGUUACGCUUUUACUCUAGAUGUAGGUUGGUAGCUUAGUUAAAAUUUUGUACAUCUACCUCCUAUCCCAGACUUUAUGUCCUUGCUAACAUGUGCAUAACACUUACUGUAGCUACCAGAUCUGAUUAUGUAUGCUGUUCUUUUAAUAGGGAAUCUGCUAAAACACAGCCUAGCUGGGUAAGUGCUAAUAUUGCUAUGCGAAGUCUGGCUGCGCCAUCACAUCCUCAGAUUUCCACAAUAAAUUAUUUUGAUUGCUGACAUGUUUUCAUAACCUCUAGUGGCCAAAACUAGAAAAAAAACAACAAAACUGUGCAGACACAUUUUUCAUCUUGGGUAGAAGUGCGUAAUAGCUAAAGGUCAUCUCCCACUUUCUUUGUGAAAUAUGAAGAAAGUUAGACUUCUAUUUUCAAAACCGAUUUAAAAACUUUCUAAAACAUGAAAUAAUGCUAGAUACUACUAAAUGGUGAGAGAAGCGACACAAGAUAAUAAAUCUUUUCAAUGCUUUGUGCCAAAGUAAUUUGUGGUGGUCAGCUGGCACUUCCCUAAUAUUCAGCUUAAUGCUGAACACAUAAUACACAACAGUGCUACCACGUUUCAUACGACGUUUUCCUCCAAGGUAGAUAUCGAAUUGUACAUUUACUAGCAAAUAUAUUCAAUGCAGAUAACAUCAGUAGCUAAUCUUGAGCUCAAAUUAGUAGAAUGAUAUCAGCUGCUGGGUAUUAGUUUGUUCUCACAGUGCUAGUGCAAGCUUUGAACAUGCUUUAAUGUACUAGGAAAACUUUUGGGAAACACAGUUUCUAUAUAUAGAACUGGAGUUUGAAAACAGAACACUGGGUGCUUAUAUGUUUGUGUAAGAGAGACAAAAGAAAAACAGAGCAUGUCAGAAAUUCAGAGAAAAAGCCAACAAGAGUCAGAAAGGGAGUGAAGGGGCGAUACAAAGGCUAAUGUAUCAGAGGGCUCUCGCUUGGCUUUGUUCACCCGAGAAACCUGGAGCUCAAGGACAUUGUGUCUGUGUUGUUUGGAAGGUAACAAACUCAAGGGAAUACAAAAAACCUACUUUUAAGA